rnacentral:lncRNA from 1 species
ACACCUGCAGCAUAUAGGAAGUUUAGGAUCUGCCAUUGUCACUGUUGUGGCUCGGGUCACUGCUGUGGUGUGGGUUCCAUCCCUGACUUGGGAACUUUCACAUGCUGUGGGCGUGGCCAAAACAAAACCCCAAAGCAGACAACCAAAAGAACCUCAUGUAUCUGAGAAGCCUACAGGACAUCUAGGUGGAGCUACCACAUGGGCAGAAGGCAGAAUGUCAUAGAGGAAAACACUGAGAAUCCAGAGGACCCUGGAUUUGGGCUUUGUCACUUACCAGCUCUGUGACCUAGGGCAUGUCCUCAGCAUCUCUUAACUCAAGUUUUUAACUUAGAAAAUGGAAGUGAUAAGACUCGCUGCCAUAACGAACUCAGAAUGAUUUUAUACUAAGCUAAAAUUUAACAAUACAUUUUAAACUGUAUUUUCUUAAAUGCAUUUGUAUUUUUAUUUUAUUUUUUGGCUGCCCCCUGAAGCAUAUGGAAAUUACUGGGCCAGGGAUUGAACCCAGGCCACAGAAGCAAUCCAAGCCGCUCCAGUGACAAUGCCAGCUCUUUAACCCACUUCGCCACCAAAGAAUUCCUAAAAAUGUAUUUUUAAAGGGUAGAGACCUUUUAUGAGAACUCCUAGUUAUUAAUAUUGUUGUUGCCCUGAAGGACUGUGGUGUACCCCUUAAUAGAUCCUGGGACUAGUCAAUUCAACCUCACAGCAUCAGCAUCAUUAACAUCUGACUUGUUAAAACUACAAAUAAGUCCUUCUCUUUUGGCCAACGGCCUUGCAAAUGGGUGUGACAGCCAAGGAGUCUAAGCACAUCAUCAGCAGUGGAAAUAUUCCAUAGUGACGUAUUCCACUUCAAACAGAAAAAGGAGUUAUUAAUAUGAGGAUUAGGAGGUGCUGUCUGUUCCUGGUAAUGACACAACAACUCACACUCACAUAAAUGGAUUCUCCUGACAGGCUCCGGAGUCUUUCCUCUUUUUCAGAAAGUCAAACACACCUCUCUUAUUUGAACCCACCCAGACUUCUAAGCUGCCACUUUCUUCUUCAGCUAUCAUCUAGGACUUCACCCCUAUGCCCCAGGCCUACUGAUUCAGUGCCUGAUUCCAGGAGGGGUGAGCCACUUCCUGGCAACUUCCCGUAGCUACUGGCUUUCCCCCAGCAGAGGUGGACCCACUGAGUAUCCUAGGGCUGAAGAUAUAUCAGCAUUCUGACUUCAGGUCAGUUCUGGGUUCUGUGAGAGUCUGGUGGAGAGGAACAGAAAAGGGCCCCCAGUUCUGACGACUGUCUUCAAGAUUCCUCAUACCAGGGAGUUUCCAUCGUGGCUCAGAGGGUUAAGAAUUUGACCAGUAUCCAUGAGGAUGGAGGCUCGAUCCCUGGCCUUGCUCAGUGGGUUAAGCGUUGCCGUGAGCUGAGUAGGCUGGCAGCAUAGCUCCGAUUCGACCCUUAGCCUGGGAACUUCUAUAUGCUGCCAGUGCAGCCCCAAAUACAUAUAUGUAUUAAAAAAAAAAAAAAAAAAAAGGAUUCCUAACAUCAGACACACUUGCAACCCUGCCCUGAAUUGGAGACAGACCUGUCAGGGACAGUGUUCUGUCAGAGGCCGGCUCUUGUCCCCCAAAUGAACCUUAGGUGCGGGUUCCUUGUGGGAUGGAAAAGUUGAGUUUCUGAGCAGAAUCAAUAGGGCGAUAUCUUUUGCCUGUCUCAAGUUCUCUGAUGUGAUAGAAAAGCAAUAAUGUGUCUGGGAAUGGACUCAUAAACAGUUAUUCAUUUUAUGGCAUAAUAAAAGUACGGCAGGACUGAAUUGGGAUUUAGGCAAAGAAUUGGGCUGGCAGUAAGACGAUGUAUUUUUUCUUGCCAACUUGCUUACUGUGACAUCUUUAAUAAAUCACCAAGUGGCUCCUGACCUCCACUAGAGAAACAGGAAUAGGACUGGCAGCAUACAGUAGGUCAACAGGUAGUGGUAACAACUGUGAUACAGAGUGAAGGUUUACUACGCGCUAGGCUUGCUUUUUUUUUUUUUAUUAUUAAAGCAUGGUUGAUUGACAAUGUUGUGCCAUUUUCUGCCGUACAGCAAAGUGACCCAGCUCUCUCUCUCCACACACACACACACACACACACACACACACACAACUUCUUUUUCUCAUAUUGUCCCUCAUCACAUUCUAUUUCAAAAGAUUAGACACAGUUCCCUGUGUUCUACAGUAGGACCUCAUUGCCCAUCCAUUCUAUUUUUUUUGUUUGUUUGUUUGUUUUCCUUUUAGGGCCGAACCUGCAGCAUAUGGAAGUUCCUAGACUAAGGGUUGAAUUGGAGCUACAGCCACCGGCCUACGCCACAGCCAUGGCAACGCCUGAUCCUUAACCCACUGAGCAAGGCCAGGGAUGGAACCUGCAUCCUCAUGGAUACUAGUCAGGUUUGUGACCCUCUGAGCUACAAUGGGAACUCCGUGCCCAUCCACUCGAAAUGUAAUAGUUUACAUCUACGAGGCUCUCUUCUUCAAUGAACAGAAUAGAAAAAAAGAAUUAUUCCUAGACUCAUGUUCUAGUGAGGAGGAAAGACAUAAACAAUACACAAAAAGGGAAAUUAUUUUGUAUGUUGGAAAUGGAGAGGUGCUGUCUUAAGGGAAAACACAGAGUGGCUGAGGUGGAUUUGGAGCCAGAGAGUGGAUGGGAGUGUUCCAGGCUCUUGAGAGGUCUGGACUCUAGCUCUGGCUAGCGAGUCCCCGCAUUCAUAACACAUAAAUCAUACUGUGCUCGGGUCACGGGUGGCGGUGAUGACUCAGUGACGUCAAGGAAGAAAAAGCACUUGAGCAUUCAAAUCUUACUAUUACUAUCUUUAUUUCUCAUCUCAACUACUUAGACUCCUGAAUCAAGAUUCUCAGAUCAAAAGGACUACAGAGACAAAGGGUCAUGUUUUAAAAUUACAAAGAAAACCAAGGAUAUAGUUUAGUCCAGGUGGUUUUUUUCAAGAUAUGGCCCAUUAUGGAAAUUAAAGCGAUGCUUGCAGAAACAGAAGCAUCUCUAAGGUUCACCCAGGGCAGACAUCUGCAGGCUAAGGUUUUAGUUCCAGGAGUAAAAACAAAGCAAAACAAAACAAAGAGAGAAAAACAUUUAAAAAGAUUUAUCAGUUUUAAAACAAAGCUUUUGAAUUUUAUAACAGGCCUAACGAGCCUCCAGAGGCUGGCUCUUUGGCGAAUGACACACCUGAACAAUAAUCAGAAAAGGUAAAAUUGCCUCCUCUGGGUAUUGACGUUAACAGAUUUGACUUUUUCUUUGUCAUGCCAGGAACACAGCGCUUCUGGCAGAGGUGUGAAUUUCAGUGCCUCGCUUGCAGAACUGCUGACCUCUGUGGGAAAUGUUUAAGUCCUUUGAUGUUACUUAUUGUUGAGCAAACAGUAUUUCUGGCACUAAAAACAUUUUGGGUUUAUAUGUUUCCAUCAAUCUUUAUUCAAUGACAUUAUCAUGGCUCACCUAUUACAGAUAUUUCUCAACUGAGACUUCUUGAAAGGGCAGAGGAUUGGAGAGAGUAUAUAUUGAAAUGACCAAAAGAUUUUGUUGCUUCCCCCACCCCUGCCUUUUGCUUACAGAGGUCAUAAAAUCACUCCUGGGAGAAGACUUUUUUAUUAGAAAACAGUAAAAGUAUCUCUCCUUGGCCUUUGUCCUAUAUUAGGUAAAUGUUGCACAUCUUGAAGCUAAAACUAUCAAAAAAAAAAAUCAGGCCUCCUUCCCUCCCGUCUCCCUUCCUCCCUCCAUCCCUCCUUCCUCCCUUCUCUUCCCCUCUUCCCUCUCCCGUCUCCUUCCCUCCUUCCUUCUCCCUCCCCCUCUUCACAGUAUGUUAGGUGUUUGCUAUGUUCUAGAUGCUGUGCUAUACCGGCACAGACAUAAAACCCAAGAGCUCAUAACUCCUUCUGCCUCUGACCAUGAGGCUGGGUUGUCCAGAACCUAAAAGAAGGUCAUUCCAUUAAUGUGAUAGAGAACUUGGCCUAGCUUUCCCAAUGCUGGGGCAGCAGGAUCAUUAACUACACUAACUGCUUGCAGGGGAAUAGGGUUAAAGGGCCAUAACAUUGCUGACUCUCAACUAGGUCCCCCAAAGACCAUGUUAAGUGAUUUAGGCAAGUUGAUUUCAACUCAGCUAAACUUGAUAAAGGGACUCCUGAGAAACAAGUUGGGCCCAGAGGUGCAAGGAUGAGGAUUAAACCAUCCCUGUCUUCAAGGAGCUUCCAGUUCAAGUCACAUACGAGCUUGACCUCUGGCUUGACUCAGAGCUUGACCUCUGGCUCAUUAAAAACAGCAAAGCAGCUCUGUAAGAACACAUGAUGAGCUGAAGGUCUGAGAAGGGAAGUAAGUUGGCUAAGGAGGCAGUGGAUGACAACCUGUUCGGUCUCCAGAGUAACUUCAAUCACCUCUUCAGGCUUUGUCAGAACUGGGUCUCCAGAUACAGACCUGAUUCAGCCAACUUGCCAGGUCACAGGAUUCAUAUAGAUGCAAUAAGAAGACAGAAGAAUUCUUGCAUAAUGGAUGCUUACUCUGCGUCCAGCACUGUCCAAAGUGCUGGUAUGUACCAAGUAUUUCAUAUUUAGUAUCUCAUUUAAUUCUCACAAACCAUUUGUGUAGGAGGCACUAUUAUUGCCUCAAUUAACACAAGGAAAUUGAGGAAUAAAGAAUUUCUAGAAGAAUUCAUGCACUCAAGAAGUCAAUGAACCAGGAUUUAAGUCUUGGGAAAUAGACUUGGCUAUUGGAAGACUGUGCUAUUCUUUCUAAAUGACUGCCUGGAACAAGCUCUUUCUCUUUUGGUCAUGAUGAUGACUGAUGAUACCAAAUAAAUAUUUCAGCAAUGGAAAUUCCAGCAGAAUGGGUAAGUAAUUAUAUAGAAGAUUUAAACCAAAAACAUCAGAAGGAGUCUAUCUUUAUCACAAAGUCAAGAAAGCCCUCUGUUGACAGCAAGCUGGCUUCUUGUAUGUUUCUUUAAAUCUCACCCUUGAAAGACCUCCUGUCUAUCCAUCUGUCCAUCUAUCCAUUCAUUCAUCCAUCCGACCAUUCAACAAAUAUUUUUGGAGAGUCCACUCUAUGCUUUGCACUGUCUAAGUUGCUGAGGGUAUAAAGUUAAAUACAGGCACUGUCCUUGCCUUCAAGAAAGUUAUCAUGAGGGUAGUUUUUUCUUAUAAAAAAGUAAUUAGAAUCCACUCAUAUCUAUAUUGUAACAGAAGGACAAUAGCCAGCUUGGGGAAGUUAAGAACUUCUAGAGGGGGUGACGAAUAAGCAAAGAAUUAGAGCUGCUUGGAGGAACACGACAAUUUUGCGUGUGUGUGUGUGUGUGUGUGUGUGUGUGUGUAUAAACUGAGGAAUAGUGAAAGGGUGAAUGACUGGAACAUUCCAGAAACUACUGGUAGCAUUAGGAGUAGAGGACACCAGACUAAGAAUUAGAAGAACUUGGGUUUUCUUCCUUGGCUUGGCAUUCAUGGAAGUAUGAUACUAGGGAAGCCCUGCUCUCUUUCUGAGACUUAAACUUUCCUCAUACAUUAGACACGACUCUUCAUAUAUUGUUUACCUCUCACUCAAAGGGAUGUGAUUAAAUAUUUUACGAAGCUUUAAGAAGAACAUCUGAUUAAUAAAAAUUACUAUGAUUAUAAACAAAUUUAUCCUCUCCAUUCUCCAACUGUCCCUCACCCUAUAAGGACAGGUCUCAACCUUAAGGGGAAGAAAAAUGACCAAUGACUGGACAAAUAAUAAUAAAGGGACGUGGUAUCUCCUGUACCAGGAGAUGUCCAGAUGUUUUUCUCUGGCUUCUUUAUGUCUUCCUAAAAGUCUACACCAUACCUUACUACUGACUAAUGCUUAUUUUGUUUUUACAUUUGGCCUUUUCUCCCCCUCUCAGUUUCACAGGGGACUCUCACAUCUGCCCUUCCCCCUCCCCAGGCACCAUUUUCACGCCUCUGGUGUUGACUACAAUGACUAAAGGCUGGAAAUCUACAGCAAACUCUGGGAACUUAACGAGUUAACUUGGGGUGGGUUCUGACUCCCAGCUGAGCACAUCAGGAUGAAAGCAUUCAGAAAAUAAACUCCCAUAUCUUCUCUCUGAUUUCCCCCUUCAUUACAGACACUAGCACAUCUUACAGUUCCCUAUGGAAGGACUUCGCUGUUAGAAGAGAACAGCCACAGCUGCCC